AUUGAACGCUGGCGGCAGGCCUAACACAUGCAAGUCGAGCGGAUGAAGGGAGCUUGCUCCUGGAUUCAGCGGCGGACGGGUGAGUAAUGCCUAGGAAUCUGCCUGGUAGUGGGGGAUAACGUCCGGAAACGGGCGCUAAUACCGCAUACGUCCUGAGGGAGAAAGUGGGGGAUCUUCGGACCUCACGCUAUCAGAUGAGCCUAGGUCGGAUUAGCUAGUUGGUGGGGUAAAGGCCUACCAAGGCGACGAUCCGUAACUGGUCUGAGAGGAUGAUCAGUCACACUGGAACUGAGACACGGUCCAGACUCCUACGGGAGGCAGCAGUGGGGAAUAUUGGACGAUGGGCGAAAGCCUGAUCCAGCCAUGCCGCGUGUGUGAAGAAGGUCUUCGGAUUGGAAAGCACUUUAAGUUGGGAGGAAGGGCAGUAAGUUAAUACCUGGCUGUUUUGACGUUACCAGCAGAAUAAGCACCGGCUAACUUCGUG
rnacentral:rRNA from 1 species